rnacentral:rRNA from 1 species
GACGGAGGGGGCUAGUGUUGUUCGGAAUUACUGGGCGUAAAGCGCGCGUAGGCGGACCUGCAAGUCGGGGGUGAAAUCCUGGAGCUCAACUCCAGAACUGCCUUCGAUACUGGAGAGCUCGAGUCCGGGAGAGGUGAGUGGAACUGCGAGUGUAGAGGUGAAAUUCGUAGAUAUUCGCAAGAACACCCGUGGCGAAGGCGGCUCACUGGCCCGGUACUGACGCUGAGGUGCGAAAGCGUGGGGAGCAAACAGG